rnacentral:rRNA from 1 species
CACUGGGGAUUACUUAGUACGGCGAGUGAAGCGGUAAAAGCUCAAAUUUGAAAUCUGGUACUUUCAGUGCCCGAGUUGUAAUUUGUAGAAUUUGUCUUUGAUUAGGUCCUUGUCUAUGUUCCUUGGAACAGGACGUCAUAGAGGGUGAGAAUCCCGUUUGGCGAGGAUACCUUUUCUCUGUAAGACUUUUUCGAAGAGUCGAGUUGUUUGGGAAUGCAGCUCAAAGUGGGUGGUAAAUUCCAUCUAAAGCUAAAUAUUGGCGAGAGACCGAUAGCGAACAAGUACAGUGAUGGAAAGAUGAAAAGAACUUUGAAAAGAGAGUGAAAAAGUACGUGAAAUUGUUGAAAGGGAAGGGCAUUUGAUCAGACAUGGUGUUUUUUGCAUGCACUCGCCUCUCGUGGGCUUGGGCCUCUCAAAAAUUUCACUGGGCCAACAUCAAUUCUGGCAGCAGGAUAAAUCAUUAAGAAUGUAGCUACUUCGGUAGUGUUAUAGCUUUUUGGAAUACUGUUAGCCGGGAUUGAGGACUGCGCUUCGGCAAGGAUGUUGGCAUAAUGGUUAAAUGCCGCCCGUCUGAAAAAGGGGAACAAAAAAACCAAAAAAAAAAAAAAAAAAAAAAAAAAAAAAAAAAAAAGGAAAAA